CGAGAAAGCCCGCAAGGGUGAGUACAGCGGCGCACGGGUGCGUAACACGUGGGUAAUCUGCCCUGGAGCCCGGAAUAACUCCCCGAAAGGGGUGCUAAUGCCGGAUGAGCCCACGGGGUCCUUGGACCCUGAGGGAAAAGGUGGCCUCUGUAUACAAGCUAUCACUUCAGGAUGAGCCCGCGGCCCAUCAGCUCGUUGGCGGGGUAAUGGCCCACCAAGGCUACGACGGGUAGCUGGUCUGAGAGGACGAUCAGCCACGCUGGAACUGAGACACGGUCCAGACUCCUACGGGAGGCAGCAGUGGGGAAUCUUGCGCAAUGGGCGAAAGCCUGACGCAGUAACGCCGCGUGUGUGAUGAAGGUCUUCGGAUCGUAAAGCACUGUCGCGAGGGACG
rnacentral:rRNA from 1 species